rnacentral:misc_RNA from 1 species
GAUGAAGAACGUAGCGAAAUGCGAUAAGUAAUGUGAAUUGCAGAAUUCAGUGAAUCAUCGAAUCUUUGAACGCACAUUGCGCCCCCUGGUAUUCCGGGGGGCAUGCCUGUUCGAGCGUCAUUUCACCACUCAAGCCUCGCUUGGUAUUGGGCAACGCGGUCCGCCGCGUGCCUCAAAUCGACCGGCUGGGUCUUCUGUCCCCUAAGCGUUGUGGAAACUAUUCGCUAAAGGGUGUUCGGGAGGCUACGCCGUAAAACAACCCCAUUUCUAAGGUUGACCUCGGAUCAGGUAGGGAUACCCGCUGAACUUAAGCAUAUCAAUAAGCGGAGGA